rnacentral:rRNA from 1 species
GAUGAACGCUGGCGGCGUGCUUAACACAUGCAAGUCGAACGAAGCACUCUAUUUGAUUUCCUUCGGGACUGAUUAUUUUGUGACUGAGUGGCGGACGGGUGAGUAACGCGUGGGUAACCUGCCUUGUACAGGGGGAUAACAGUUGGAAACGGCUGCUAAUACCGCAUAAGCGCCCGGCAUCGCAUGAUGCAGUGAGAAAAACUCCGGUGGAAUAAGAUGGACCCGCGUUGGAUUAGCUAGUUGGUGAGUUAACGGCCCACCAAGGCGACGAUCCAUAGCCGACCUGAGAGGGUGACCGGCCACAUUGGGACUGAGACACGGCCCGAACUCCUACGGGAGGCAGCAGUGGGGAAUAUUGCACAAUGGGCGAAAGUCUGAUGCAGCGACGCCGCGUGAGCGAAGAAGUAUUUCGGUAUGUAAAGCUCUAUCAGCAGGGAAGAUAAUGACGGUACCUGACUAAGAAGCACCGGCUAAAUACGUG